UACGUAGGGAGCAAGCGUUGUCCGGAAUCAUUGGGCGUAAAGCGCGCGUAGGUGGCCUCAUAAGUCCGCUGUGAAAGUCAAAGGCUCAACCUUUGAAAGCCGGUGGAUACUGUGAGGCUAGAGUACGGAAGAGGCGAGUGGAAUUCCUGGUGUAGCGGUGGAAUGCGCAGAUAUCAGGAGGAACACCUGUGGUGUAGACAGCUUACUGGACCAUAACUGACGCUGAGGCACGAAAGCGUGGGUAGCAAACAGG
rnacentral:rRNA from 1 species